rnacentral:rRNA from 1 species
UAAAGACAUUUGUUCUUGUGCUAUUUUUGUAAACUGUACGCCAACAUGGACUUCAUUGAACUACCAGUUGAGAAAAUUUAUAAUCUAAGAAAUUAAGAAUAUGGUACCAAUUUAUAUUAACGACUCUUAAAGUGCCAGCAGUCGCGGUCAUACUUUAGUUAAAAACAAAAACAAUUAGGAUAUGCGUAAGUAAUAUAACUCCCGUGGUGAAAUAUGGAUACUAGCUACUUCUAUACUUAUAUUACAAGUUAAUACUGGCAACAAACAGGGAUUAGAUACCCCUUUAUGCAGUAAAUAAAUCACAUCCUGGGCACUACAAUUAACAGAUUGAAACCCAACGAACAUGGCGGUAGUUUUAAUAUUUAGGGGAACUUACUAAAUAAAUGAUAACCACCAAGAAUAUGUACGUCAAGUUAUAUUUUACAUACCGUCGUCGUCAGAUAUACUAGAACAGAAUAUCACAAUAUUACUAAUAAAAAGACAGAUCAAGGUGUAGACCAUCUUAACGUUUAAGCGAGUUACAAUAUUUUAUAUUUUCGUAAUCUAGUUAUAUUACUACUUGCAGUCGGACUUAAAAGUAAUAGUUAUAGAGUAUACCGUAUGAAUAAC